UGCGAUUGAUUGGUUGUGUCUGAGAACAACCGGAAGAGGGAGCUGUCACCAUGGCAACGGAGUGAGGACCGCGUGCGACGUGAAGUUGACGUCUACCCUUUUCAGCUUGGGUAAACCUGGAGACGCCGGCCAUCCAUAAGCGUCGGCUCACACCGAGAUGAACGAGGAUGGAGGAGGGAGGACGAGCGUGAGGCAACGCUGGGGUUUUCAUUGGAUAUUUGCACACAAUGUGCAGAGGGAGCUCAGACCAGAAAGCAACAUGUGGGAGAGCGGCACCAGCGGGGGAACGAAGAAAAGAUUUUGAGUGGUGUUUUCAGAUUUAUGGCACCACAGAGACACGGGAGGCUUGAGCUAGUUUUUCAUCGUUGACAGUAACAACUUCUCAGCAGAACGCCGACUCAUUAGAGCCAGGACUACCAUUACCUACCAUCAGCUGUCCUCGCGGGCCCAGACUGGUCCUCAGUGCUUAUUUAGAGGCUUCUUUUUAUAUUCUCACCUCAUAUGUUUAUGUCCAAUGACCGGUUUUAGCUUAUUCUUUUUUUUGUUUAUGUGUUUCUUGACAAUGAUAAUUGCAUUAACACACAGUUGCUUUCUGAAAACGAACACGUCUGUGUGUCUUUGUUACGGAGAGGCAGGAGUGGGCACUAUACUGUGAAAUCACCCACCUGAUGCGCGCUGCUCGCCCCAAACGCACAGGGAA